rnacentral:rRNA from 1 species
AUACGGAGGGUGCGAGCGUUAAUCGGAAUUACUGGGCGUAAAGCGCGCGUAGGCGGCUUUGUAAGUCGGAUGUGAAAGCCCUGGGCUCAACCUGGGAAUUGCACUCGAUACUGCAGAGCUAGAGUAUGGUAGAGGGAAGUGGAAUUUCCGGUGUAGCGGUGAACUGCGUAGAUAUCGGGAGGAACACCAGUGGCGAAGGCGGCUUUCUGGACCAAUACUGACGCUGAGGCGCGAAAGCGUGGGGAGCAAACAGGAUUAGAUACCCCAGUAGUCC